rnacentral:rRNA from 1 species
UAGGGAAUCUUCCGCAAUGGACGCAAGUCUGACGGAGCAACGCCGCGUGAGUGAAGAAGGAUUUCGGUUCGUAAAACUCUGUUGUUAGAGAAGAACAGCGCAUAGAGUAACUGUUAUGCGUGUGACGGUAUCUAACCAGAAAGCCACGGCUAACUACGUGCCAGCAGCCGCGGUAAUACGUAGGUGGCAAGCGUUGUCCGGAUUUAUUGGGCGUAAAGCGAGCGCAGGCGGUCAAUUAAGUCUGAUGUGAAAGCCCACGGCUCAACCGUGGAGGGUCAUUGGAAACUGGAAAACUUGAGUGCAGAAGAGGAAAGUGGAAUUCCAUGUGUAACGGUGAAAUGCGCAGAGAUAUGGAGGAACACCAGUGGCGAAGGCGACUUUCUGGUCUGUAACUGACGCUGAUGUGCGAAAGCGUGGGGAUCAAACAGG